rnacentral:rRNA from 1 species
CAGCCGCCGCGGUAACACGGAGGGUGCAAGCGUUAAUCGGAAUUACUGGGCGUAAAGCGCACGCAGGCGGUCUGACAAGUCAGAUGUGAAAUCCCCGGGCUUAACCUGGGAACUGCAUUUGAAACUGUCAGGCUGGAGUCUUGUAGAGGGGGGUGGAAUUCCAGGUGUAGCGGUGAAAUGCGUAGAGAUCUGGAGGAAUACCGGUGGCGAAGGCGGCCCCCUGGACAAAGACUGACGCUCAGGUGCGAAAGCGUGGGGAGCAAACAGGAUUAGAUACCCCGGUAGUCCCUGUCUCUUAUAC